rnacentral:rRNA from 1 species
UUUGAUGGCGACCGGCGCACGGGUGAGUAACACGUAUCCAACCUGCCGAUGACUCGGGGAUAGCCUUUCGAAAGAAAGAUUAAUACCCGAUGGCAUAGUUCUUCCGCAUGGUAGAACUAUUAAAGAAUUUCGGUCAUCGAUGGGGAUGCGUUCCAUUAGGUUGUUGGCGGGGUAACGGCUCACCAAGCCUUCGAUGGAUAGGGGUUCUGAGAGGAAGGUCCCCCACAUUGGAACUGAGACACGGUCCAAACUCCUACGGGAGGCAGCAUG